CUUUCAAGCCUUCACUGAUAACCUUUCCCCCUUCUCAGAGACUAUUCACGCUGCAGGACAGCUGUUGCUGACGCAUGGUGUGUCUUCAAUGAAACCCGAGAGUUCGCUCAGAAUAUUUGAGAGUGCCAGAAUCUUCCCCCGGCUCCUGCCACAGAUAAAGCAGCUGAGCAGCAACAUAAUCCUGCCCACCAUCUCUGUACAUCUGAUAAUGUUGCCAUAUCGUAACAUAAUGAGCACAAAGUUGCAUCACUGUAGUAAGGAAACUUGUUAGAGCAGCUUAGAGCAUAGACAGAGCAUACACAAAAUAGUACAACUCACUGGUGACAUUGUAAAGUGCCUUCAGAAAAUAUUCUAAUCAAAGCUGAGUGAAGCUUUUUCUCCCUAUACAUUUCAAGUCUCGAACUUUCAGUUGCAUCAGAUCCAAUGGUUUCAUCAUACAGAUAUUGUUGAUUAUUUCUGACUCACUCUUACAGGUAAUAGAUUUAAACCUUUACAUUUAAACCUGAUUUCCUACCUCCUGUUCAUAGCAUGUUUUUCUUUCUUGUUUAGAAAGUAAUUUAAGUCAUAUAAAAGUAAUUGUAUACAUCUCUUUCCUGCAGUCGAUCUCCCACUAGUGGCCUCAUGGGUGGAAUGUUAUUCAUAUUUUUCAUAAUAAAUAAACUAUGUCAAAA